GAAGAGGGGAGGCCGGCUAUGAGCACAUGGGAGGGGAGUGGGGAAAGAAGGGGAAGAGAAUAAGGGAGCAAGAGAGUGAGGAGGGAGCAGCAGCCCCUUUUUAUGGCGAGUCAGGCACGCCUGGCUGUUGCCAGGCAACUGUGGGGCGGAGCCUAGACGAAAUGUCAACAGUUGAGAUGCAUCAUGGGAAUGUAGCUCAACUGAUAAAAGUGCAUCCCUAACGUGCACAAAGCCCCGGGUUGCAUUCCCAGUGCCACAUAAACUGCGAAUGGUGGCACACACCUGUAACCCUAGCACUUGGAAAUAUAAGGCUAUCCUUGGCUACAUAGCGAUAACAAGCCAACCUAAGAUAAUUGAGACCCUAGUUUUUAAAAAAAGAAAAAAGCACCGUGAGUAGAAAAGGUAAGGGCCUGGUUAGUUGGGCGUGAGAACACCCACGCUGUUUCUCUCUUCUCUCGUGGUCUGGCACCGCUGGCUCUUCCUGGGUGUGUCCACUUGGGAGAGCGGGCUAAAUGGACUCCAGUAGUCAGCAGGGCUGCUUCUGCCCCGCCAUGCCUGAGUGAGGAGCCUGCUUCCCAGAAACUCCUCAGUCUCUGUGACACACUAGAGAAAAACAAAGGAGGAAGGAUUUAUUUUAGCCCAUGAUUCAUUUUAGCCCAAGGUCACUUGUCUGUGUUGUUUGUGGGCCGGAAUCAAGGCCGAAAGUCAGGGCAGGAGCAUGGUGACCCGGAAGUGGGAUAAAACAGGCAGGGAAGGAGCAAGGGACAAAACUUCAGAAGCCUUGCUGGCAGGGACCUGCUUUCUCCAAUGAAGGCUGACCACCUCCGUCACCUCUGAGAACACUCACAUUAUGAAACCAGCAAGGAAUUAGUGUGGCAGUGACGUCAGGAUGCAGUCAGUGCUCCAGAGCCAACCAGCUGGCAACCCAGCCCCUGCGCAGGAGGCCGCGGACAGACUUCCAACCAUCACAGAGGGUCAAGCCGGAACUGCGGAGAGGCUGGGUCAGGGUGAUGAGCUGGGUGUCCUUACCUUCUGUCCACAGCCUGGACUUGGGAGCCUAGGCUUUCGUCAGGUGGGGAUGGCAGCAGAUAAUGGCUCAGGAGCAAGAACGUGGGCUUUUUGUUUGUUUUCUGUUUUGUUUUUUUUUUUGGUUGUUUGGGACAGGGUUUCUCUGUGUAGCCCUGGCUUUCCUGGAACUUACUCUGCAGACCAGCAUGACCUUGAAACGGCCUCUGCCUGCGGAGUACGGGAUUAAAGGUGUGCACCACCGCUGUAUGGCUAAAACGUGGGGUCCCCUGCCCAGGGAAGUCUCCCCUGAUCUUAUGGAGCUGUCCCAGGGAAUGAAAUAUGUUCAGAACAAGUGCCUUUUAAAGCUUUCUGAGACCCUUUGUGGUUUUUCUCUGUUAUGUAUGUCAAAUAUAACAUCUAUUUUUUUAAGCAAUAAAGUUGUUUACUUGCCAAAAUCCAA
rnacentral:lncRNA from 1 species